rnacentral:rRNA from 1 species
UACGUAGGGGGCAAGCGUUGUCCGGAUUUAUUGGGCGUAAAGAGCGUGUAGGCGGCUGGGUAGGUCCGUUGUGAAAACUCGAGGCUCAACCUCGAGACGCCGACGGAAACCCCCCAGCUAGAGUCCGGAAGAGGAGAGUGGAAUUCCUGGUGUAGCGGUGAAAUGCGCAGAUAUCAGGAAGAACACCCGUGGCUAAGGCGGCUCUCUAGUACGGUACUGACGCUGAGACGCGAAAGCGUGGGGAGCGAACAGG